rnacentral:rRNA from 1 species
AUUGAACGCUGGCGGCAGGCCUAACACAUGCAAGUCGAGCGGAUGAAGGGAGCUUGCUCCUGGAUUCAGCGGCGGACGGGCGAGUAAUGCCUAGGAAUCUGCCUGGUAGUGGGGGCUAACGUCCGGAAACGGGCGCUAAUACCGCAUACGUCCUGAGGGAGAAAGUGGGGGAUCUUCGGACCUCACGCUAUCAGAUGAGCCUAGGUCGGAUUAGCUAGUUGGUGGGGUAAAGGCCUACCAAGGCGACGAUCCGUAACUGGUCUGAGAGGAUGAUCAGUCACACUGGAACUGAGACACGGUCCAGACUCCUACGGGAGGCAGCAGUGGGGAAUAUUGGACAAUGGGCGAAAGCCUGAUCCAGCCAUGCCGCGUGUGUGAAGAAGGUCUUCGGAUUGUAAAGCACUUUAAGUUGGGAGGAAGGGCAGUAAGUGAAUACCUUGCUGUUUUGACGGUACCAACAGAAUAAGCACCGGCUAACUUCGUG